ensembl:lncRNA
AUGUAUUAUCUUUCCUGAGGAUUUUUCAUACAUACUAUCAUGCUGUUUGGAUAAUGAAUGAACAAAUAAAACUGCAUGUGCUAUAGUCAUCUAUAGAGCUACGACUCAGUAAGUUACCUGGGACUUUUCCUGAAUGGUUUUCAGAACUGCAUAUUUUAUUUAAAAAAAAAAUUUUUUUUUAAAUAUCUCUUCUAGGAAUUCCCAUUGUGGCUCAGCAUUUUAAGAACCCGACAUAGUGUCCAUGAGGAUGUGAGUUUGAUCCCCGGGCCUUGGUCAGUGUGGUUAAGGAGCCGGCAUUGCUGCAAGCUGCAGAGUAGGUCCCACAUGCAUUUCACUGUGGCUGUGGCAUAGGCUGGCAGUUGCAGCUCUAAUUCAACCCCUAGCCUGGGAACUUCUAUGUGCCACAGGUGUGGCCAUAAAAAGAAAAAAAAAAAAUCUCUUCUAACAUUUCAAUGGAUUUUAAUGGGAUAAGAGAAAUAAAUACAUGUUCAGCCAACCAUCUUAAACUAAACUGCCUCCCAUAAUGUCUUAUUCCUCUCUUCAGGGAAGAAUUUUCCUCCCAUGGAUAAUUUCAGGAACCCUGCCAGUGAAGAUAACAUUCAAUCUGUUAUGCUGUAACUUGUUCUUGUGAUAGUUGUGCUCCUAAGAAUUUACAAAACUUCGGGAGUUCCCGUGGCAGCUCAGUGGGAAUGAACCUGACUACUCUCCGUGAGGACUUGGGUUCAAUCUCUGGCCCUGCUCAGGUGGGUGAAGCUUCCGGCAUUGCCGUGAGCUGUGUGGUGUAGGUCACAGACGUGGCUCAGAUCCUGUGUUGCUGUGACUAUGGUGUGGGCAGGCAGCUACAGCUCCAAUUCAACCCCUAGGCUGGGAACUUCCAAAUGCUGUAGGUGUGGCGCUAAAAAGCAAUAAGAAAAAGAAAAAAAACAAAAAACAAAAAUUCCAAGAAUACCUACAGCAUUACUGGGCAAGCCUAGCGUUUCAUCAUAUCUGGAUAGCGUUCCAGCAAGGAUGCUGGUCUUAUCACCAUACACAUUGUUAUUAGUGGGAACAUCUUAUACGUGCCUAUGUGCCACCCACAAUUCUGAAAGUAGAACAGAAAAACACCCACAGAAGUGUGAGUUCAGAAGGUACCUCACCCCACCCCCAGCUCCUUGUGGGUGGAUGGGGUGCUAAGGGCAAGAGCCUGGAUCCAGUCUGCGGGGGCUCAGAGCCCCAUCUCCCAUCUAUAAGUUGUGGACCUUUGAGCAGGUUGCUUAAAGUUUCCGGGCCUCUCUUUCCUCAUCUGUAAACAUGGAGAGGCUGAGUUUCUAACUUACAGACUUGAAAGGAUUGAAAGAGAAAAUAUACGCAAAGGGCUAAUUCCUAGAAAGCCCCCCCACCAAUGGUUUUUGUUGUUGUUGUGACAUAUGUAGUUAAGAGUAUACACUUACUAGCCUUGUGACUGCAGACAAGUCACUGAACCUCUCUGUUCCUCUGUUUUCUCAUCCAUAAAAAGGGAAUAACAGAGGAUCAACUUUGCUGGGUGUUAAAAGAGUUGGUACAUGGUACACUUGGAAAAGCGCCUGGCAGACAAUAAGCAUCCAAACAAAUCUAAGCUGCCGUUAUUACAAUUUCUCUUUGGAAGGAUCUUUCUGGCAACUGCGUAGAAGAUGUCUAAGAGGAAGGACACUCUGGGAGGCAGGACACUGCAAAGGAGCAAAUUAAGAGACCCACUUACAUGAGAUCCAAGCGAGGGAAGAGGAGGACCCAGCCACCAAGUGAGAAAGCAGCAGGCAAGCAGGGGAGGGGAUGGGAGCUGCUACAAGGUCCAAUGACCAGGACGUGGUGACGGGGUGUGGGUGGGAAGUGAGAAGGAAGAGCCUAGAAUGACUUCCAAGUCAACAUCGAGUGUCUAGUUGGAUAAUAAGGCUCUUCACCUAGAGAGAGAUGGCUUGGGGGCAGAAUCUGAGGGUCAGGUCCAUGGGGGCAGCUCCUAGGAUGCUGAGUUUAAGGGAUCUGCUGAACGUUCAGGUGGAGACGUCCAGCGUGCUUUGUGACCUAUGAUUCUGAAGCACACAAGAGGUGUCUGGAUGGGAAAUUCAGAGGCGGCAGCCCACACGGGUUCGGGGCAGUUCAUGCCGAAUGCAGAUCCUGCAUGAAGAUGGAGAUGGAGCACAGAAGACAUGUGAACACAACUGAAGAAGAGGAGCUAAAGCAGGAACCGAAGAGGAGUCCCCCAGAGGGAGGGGAGAAGCCCAGAGUGCAGCGAGGCUGAGAGAUGGGUUCAAAAUGCAAAUGGUGUGGAGUUCCCGUCGUGGCGCAGUGGUUAACGAAUCCGACGAGGAACCAGGAGGUUGCGGGUUCGAUCCCUGGCCUUGCUCAGUGGGUCGAGGAUCCAGCGUUGCCGUGAGCUGUGGUGUAGGUCAUCUCUAUUUCAUCUGGGACUUUCUGUACACGGCAUUUGCUUACGAGAGUGGAGUUCUUUAAACUCAUUGAUAAGAAGUCUUACACAUUAAGGAUAGUAACUCUGUUGUAGCUGCUCUCAACUUUUUUCUAGUUAAUCAUUCCGUUAGAAUUUUAAUUAUGAUCUGUGACAGAGCUUCAGUUAGUAUGUGGUAAAAUUUAUAGGUUAUUUCCAUUGUUCAUUCUCUGCACUUUCAGCCCAAGCAUGAAGUUUCCACAGUUCCUUCUGCUUCCAUAUUUCCUUCUGUUUAUUUUACAAUUUUAUUUUUUUACAUGAAACUCUUACUCUGCUUGGAGUUUAUCUUGGCAUGAAGUGGUGAGGUGAAAUCUCACCUGACUAUUUUCCCCAAUACUCACCUGGUGUCUCAUUCUGUUUCCUGUCUUCGGAUGCCUCCUUAUCAUAUGCCCACUUCCUAAACUUACCAGGGCUUGUUCCUGGCCAGACAAGUGUGGGAACACAGCAGGGAGGCCGAUUUGGCCAAGGUCAGAGACCGAGCUAGGGAACAGCACAGACGGGGUCUCGGCCCCUCAGCCUAAGUCCACACACCUUUUCCUAGACCCCAAUCGCCCUAAAGCAAUGUUCAUUUUCUGAAGCCCUCAUCUAAAGGUUUUGAGGACAUAACUAGAUCAAUGAACUGACAAAAAAACUGGUUUAGAUUCAGGGAAAGCAAUUGAAUGUGCUCCCCAAAUCUCAUCAUCAAGAGAACCGGGUUUCUGCUCUGGGCAGGGGAAGGUUCUUGGAAAGACCUGAGUGUGUAUUUUGGAAACCAGCAGAGAGACACACCAGACUGGUGUGAGGGCGCAUCUGUAAAGGUUUCUCUAGAGACCAGUUUACAACAUGGGAAAUGUAGCCCAGCACCUCUCUGGUAACCAGUAGGCUUCUUUUUUUUUUUAGGACUGCACCCUCACAUAUGGAAGUUCCCAGGCUGGGGUCCAAUCGGAGCUACAGCUGCCAGCCUACACCACAACCACAGCAACACUGGAUCUGAGCUGUGUCUGCGACCUACACCACAGCAGCAACGCCGGAUCCUUAACCCACUGAGUGAGGCCAGGGAUCGGACCUGCAUGAUAGCAGUGGGAUUGUUUCUGCUGCACCACAACAGGAACUCCCCGGUAGGCUUCAUAAGAAGCUGGCCAUAUAGAUGGGUUUUCUUUAACCCUGGGGUUCUUGUCCAUGGGCUUGAUGGAGUCUGUGAGGUCCAUGAAAUUAUAUGCGAGUGUAUGUGUCUGUGGUGCUUUUUUUCUGGGAAGAGGAUUGUUAGAACCUCCAUUGAAAUCCAUGAGUAGUGAGGUUCCUAAAGAGGGUGCUAUGAUUCAAAGACUAUGAUUAAGUCCAUUGCCCUGUGACCUGCUGACCACUUGAGAAGUUCUGUGAACAUAUCACCACGUGUGCUCCACUUAAAUUCCUGUCACCAUUUCUCGACUUUCUCUUCCAAUUCUUUUCUCAGCCUAAGUGCCCUGCAAUUGUUUCCUUCAUAUGGCAGGACUACUGCAAGUUCAGCACGCUGCCUUUAAGAUCACCUGCCAGUCUUAAGACGAAGACACAGAAGAGAGGCUCAUCAGACUUACUAAAAGGCGUGCGGCUCAAAAAAGACGGGAAAAGUCCUUGCUGAUUUCCACUGGGAACCAUUCGGAUUGGGACAUAUGCAUUUGAGCAGGAUGUGAGCAUUCCUUAUCUCUGUGUCUGAAAUGCCCAAGAGGGUUACAUCCCAUGCACCUCACACAGUACAGCUAUAAACAAUUAAACAGCUACACAUUAUCUUGGAGAGUCUAACCAAUUGAAUAUGGCAAGAAAAAGAAAUCAUUGAAAUAAAUAAUAGCAAAAGGAGAACAAGAAACAUAACACAGCAACUAUCACAUACACAGAAAAGUCAAAGAAGUAACAAAAUUACCAAUUGUAGCUAAAGAAGUUGUAAAGAAAACAAGCAUAAACAAACAUGAAUUAUCACCCAUGUUUAUCAAUUACCAUAAUUAGGCACUAUUCUCAACAAGAACAACAGCAGCAAAAUAUUUAGGAAGCACAUAAAAGCUUUGUGUCAAUAAAGAGAUGGGCCAUGCUCAAGCUGCAAAGAUGUCAAUUCUACCCACGGUCUAGUUCGCAGGUUUCGUAGACCAUAAUUCCUCACUUUUAGCUAUUUUUGUAUCCUGAGGUCCUAGCCUAUAGAAGGCACCCAUUAUUAUGAUUUGGAUAAGUGAGCUCUGAAUCAAAAUCCUAAAUGAAUUUUUCCAGGAACUGGGAGUGAUGCCAACCUUCAUUUUUAGACAGAAACAGGGAAGAACUAAAAAAGAAGAGCUGAAGGAAACCAGAUCUACCAGAUUUAAACAUGUUAUAGAUCAACAGUUAAUAAAACAGUGCAGUAUUGGUAUGUACACACCAAAGCCGUAAACCAAUAGAAGAAAAAAACGCAACCAAGAAAAGUGGAUGUAAGAAUCAUAUGUUUAUGCACCUCUAUGGUCACAGCAGCACCAUUCACAACAGUCAAGACAUGGAAGCGAACUAGAUGUCUGUCACCAGAAGAAUGGGUAAAGGUGUGGUUGUAUAUACAAUGGAAUAUUAUUCAGCCCUUAAAAAGAACAAGAUAAUGCCAUUUGCAUCAACAAGGAUAGAACUAGAGAUUAUCACAAGUGAAGUCAGUCAGAAAAACAAAUACUAUAUGACAUCACUUAUAUGUAGAAUCUAAACGAUGACAUAAAUGAACUUAUCUACGAAAUAGACUCAUAGACAUAGAGAACAGACUUGUGGUUGCCAAGGGAGGGGUAGAGAGGGAUGGAUUGGGAGUCUGGGAUUAGAGAUGCAAAAUACUACAGACAGGAUGUCCCACUGUAGAGCACAGGGAACUAUUUAAUAUCUUGCGAUAAAACCAUAAUGGAAGAGUAUGAUACAGGUUAUAUAUAAGUGUAUACACACACACACACACACACACACACAUCUGAGUCACUUUGCUGUACAGCAGAAAUUAACACAUUGUAAGUCAACUACAAUAAAUUUUUUUAAAAGACUUACGUGUUUAAAAAAAGAGCAGCAUCAUAAAACAAUGGAUAAGUGAAGAAUCAUUGUAUAACCUAUUACAGUAAAUAACAUCUAACCAUACAUCUCUUUUCGUCACCUCAAACAUUACAGUGUUAAGUAUGUUUUCAAGUCAAUCUCCAAGGCCCUUGUCUUCGUCUGGCUGCCAUCACCUCUGUCACCUUGUCACUGUUUCCUAGCUAGUCUCCUUUCGCUUUCGCCUCUUUCCUUUCUUCCACAGUCCUAACUCCACCUGCUGCCAAAGUUGUCUUCCUAAAGCACCCACUUAAUUUUCUCAACCUUCUACACAUGAGGACGUCUCAGGUUCCACCGCAGUGGUCUUCAAACCAUGAUCCCCUUGAAAGUGGGACAGAGGCCUCUCCGAGGAUGGUCUUCCACAGUUGAGAACCAAAACCAAUCAAUACUGCCUGACUCCUAGAGUUCCCGCUGCAGCGCAGUGUGUUAAGAGUCAGACUGCUGUGGUUCUGGGCAGCUGCAGAGGUGCAGGUUCAAUCCCCAGCCUGGUGAGUGGAUUAAGGAUUCGGCACUGCUGCAGCUGUGGAGUCGGUCGAAACUGCGGCUUGGAUUCAAUCCCUGGCCUGGGAACUUCCAUAUGCUGUG